UGUGUCUGUUUAGGAUGUGAGAAAUCUCUGUAAUUGUGGGAAAUCCUAAAUUUCAAGCAGGUAAUUAAUUGUUUUUAUUGUUAAUUAGGUAUUUACACGAGUAAUAUUACAUUUGUAAUAUUUGAAGCAGAUGAAUUUAAUUUAUUUCUUUAUUUCUUUAUUAUUUAAUUUAUUGUUUUUGUUAUUAUAUUGUUGGCAUUUGUUUAAGAAAAAUGGUUUAUUUUUUUAUUGUAAUGAAACUCUUAAAAUUGUAUAACAGUAAAAUAUGUAUGUAUGUAUAAUACAUGUGAAAAAUGACAACUUUUACAGAAAUUAAUGUAGUGACUCAUGAAUGAAUGUAUUGUCACUCAAUAAGAUUCAUUCUCUCAAACGAUAAAUAAAUACUCCAUUGAUAUUAGACUAUUGUCAAUAUUAUAAAUAGGUGUAAUCUACAUCAUGUAGAUAUUUAUUAUUUACCAGAUUCAUUAACAGGUAUUUAUACCUGCUCUUUAUGUAAUUAACAUCUAUUGAGGUAAUAGAUCAAAGGGAAUCUGGACAAUGGUCACUAUUACAACCACAAUGGUCAAUAUUACAACUACAAUUCUUGUCUUUUACUGAAAUUGAUUGGAUUUUUUCUUCUAUUGUUAUAAAAUCAAUUCAGGUAUUGAAAUUAGAGAAAUUAGCAUUUAAACUGACCAUAUAGAAGGUGAAAUGUGACAAAAAGUAUUACGUCAGUUUCUAUAGUGUUAUAUAGAUGUAUUACUUUCAUACCUUAAAUUUUAUAAAUUUCUCAUGCUAUUUCAAUAAGUAGGAAUAAUGUGAAAAAAAUCUGAUCUCAGCAUGAUUCCAUACUUUUAGUAUUACUAACACCUUGACUAUAGUAGUUUGAUAUUGAUAUCUCACAUUUUAUAUCUAGUAAGGUUUCAUAGGCCAACAGGAGGCACUUUAUAUAAUUAUCUAGGACAUAUAGCAGUGCAUUAUUCUUAUAUUUAUAAUUAUGAAUAGAGAAUCUACUCCUUGAUGAUUUCAAAACUAACAAAUUUAACUUUUCACCUGAAAUUGAGAAACACUAUUAAUCACUUAAAUAUUACUAUAAAUAGAUUUGGGAUGUAAGUCAAUAAGACAGCAAUCUAACAACAUAAUAAAACCACUAAAAACAUCUAGACUAAGGUUUUGUCUUCAACAAUGGACACAUAUAAAUCAUCUUGGUGGUUUGUAAUGUUAGCGAUCAGAAAAGUUAUGUACAAUAUGAGCAGAGGUUUUACAGCCAAUCGCACGACCUUUAUGGAGCAGAUUAAAGGCAUAUGUAUUAUUCACAUCUUUUUUUUAUAAAGGGUAUCAGGUUUUAGUCACCUGUGUAGCAAAGUUGAUGAAUGGAAAUUAUUAUCAGUUUCCUCAAUUUGUCCAUAUGGGGCAUGUAAAAUAGAAGUGUUUCAAAAUCUAAAGCAGAAAAAAGGAUCAGCAUGACAAAAUUUAUUCACCCUGAAAAUCAAAGAAAAAUCUUACAACUUAUGUCAGAGUUAUUGCCCAUGAAAUAUUAUUUUUUUACCAAUAUUUAGCAGUUGUUGGUUGUUAUAGUAAAAGCUAUACAUGUAUAAGAGCUAGGUCUAAAGUGUAAAUUAUAAAAAUGAUGGACUACACAAAGACUAACUGCAAUGGAUAGUAUGUGCAUAGUUAAGUCCUAGAAUAUGCAUACUGAUAUUUUUGUCAACAGGUAAGAGAUACAGGCACAGAUAUGUGUCUUGUUUGUAUGCUGUAUAUUUUUUUAUAGCUAUUUUCAUUUGAUAUCACAGAACUUCAGAUUAGUUCCUUGUGUAUCUAUUUUUAUCAGGCAAUUUUUAGUAGGCAAUCCUGAAUGCUUCAGUUAUAUUAAUUUACUAGCAAGCAGAUAAUAUUAAAACAGAAUUACAUUUUGAUGAUAUGAAAACUAUUUGUAGUUUUUAAAAAGGGAUGUUUUCUGUGAUUUCUUAUUUAAGCUCAAAUUUUUCAAGUAUGUUAUUAAAUAAACAUCAUUUGCUAUCAUCUAAGAUAUUUUAUAGAGCAGAAACUUGAAGUAGGUACUGUAAAUAUAGAAAUUAUUGCAUGCAUUUAUUUAUUGCAAUUUAUGAAGUAUGGGUAAAAUUCUAACUUAAUUAAGUUGAUUUCAAGAAAUCUGCAUACAUAUAUAUGUCUCAGUUAUCAGAAUACGAGAUCUUAUUUUUGCGAUACUCAACCAGUCACAUUAUUUGCUGUCAAAAUAACCUUGCAAUAAUUUCUGAAUUUACAGUAAAUGUUUUUAUUAGCACACCAUUAGGCGUUUGACCAAUACAAUGGACCAUGGGAGUACUAUAUUUCAUUUUACUUCCAUGAACAGACCAAUAUGAAAUUGUAGAAGUUCUAUUAUAAUAGCCAUGGUUUUUUGUCUGCAGUUAUUUGAUGCAAUAGCAUUUGUCUGGGCUUUUUGAGGUACGUCAUAUUAGACAUUUUGUUCUAGCAUAGAUGUAAUAUUACAUCUAUGGUUCUAGUUGCUACUCAUUUGAAGGAUUGGUCAUUUCUAUUUAUGUUUUAUUUGUUUGUAAACUUUUAAAAUUGAUUGUUUCAACCAUGAGUCAAUACUGCUAUAGGAAAAGCUGUUACAGUUUAAACGUCUUCUCUUUUAUCCUUUUAAGUUUAUACUUUACAUUAGAAACUUUAUUAUUGACUUGGACAAACAAAAUCAAACAUAUAACAGACCAAGAAUAAACAUUAUUUUAUAGCUUCCUGUCAAUUUCAGAAUCAUAUAAAUGCUUAAGAUAUGUGUCAUAUUUGGUUAUGUCCAGUGUGAUUUUGUUCCACAGAUUUUUUUUUGCAUUUUGCAGACUUGCUCAAUGUUCAUUAAAAUCAUUUUUUUUUACCAUUUGGAAAGUAAAGUCUAUUCAAUUAUUUUACCCAAUGUUAUCAAUUCACCUAUCAUUGGGCAAGUUUAAAUUUGACCAAAAGGUCAGAUUUAGAAAGGUUAGAACUGACUAAGAUAAAAUUGGCGCAGAUUUGUCUUGAAUUGAAAUUUGAAUGAAUGUCUGCUCGAAAAAUUGGAAAUUCAAAUGUAAAUGGAUGAGGUUUUUUCCUUUGAAUCAGAUCUUGGCAUGAUACAUUCAUGGUUUGAUUAAUUCAAUGAAAAGUUCAUAUGCCAGUUUAUAUAACAGAAUCUGUUAUACUGAUGUCUCAAGAAAAAAUAUAUUGAGUGUACAAAUAACUAGUUGUUUUAGGCUUAAAUUAUUCAGAUGAUUAUUAUAAUGUAAUAUAUAUCUUUAUUUCCUCCAAUUCUAAACUAAUUCAAUUUUAUUUGAUUGGGGGGAUUCAAAGGACUGAACAGUUUUAUUGCUGUUCUUCAUACAAUUUCUGAAGUUUUCAUGUAUUAUGAGGGCUUGAUGUGAUCUUAAAUUAAACUUUCAUAAUGCCAGAAUAUUUUUUAAGUGCAACUCAGAUUUUAUGUUUGUAUUCAAGAAGAAAUCUUUUAUUUGCCCAGAAUGGUAUAACAUCUCAUAUUUCUUUAGGUUUUUUCAGGUUGCAAUUAUCACAUUUUUACCUGGUAACCAUGGAAACAUAUUUGUAUCAGGUUUUUAUCAAGUAUAUAUAGAGCUUAAUGAUACAAAAUUAGCCUAAAACAGACAAUACAUAACUCCCAAUCGAUGGCAAUGAUUCAGAUCUUAUCAAAUACAAAAAUGUUCUAUUCUUCAGGUAUUUAUCAGCACUUGUUGAUUUUGCCAUAUUUUAAUGCCACAUUUGAACUUUACAUUUAUUGGAAUUAAAGUAUUUUCGCAGAAUAUGUGACUCAGAAUGCAGUAAAAAUCAAAUGAUCUCUUAUUGCUUUAUAAUCAAUGGGAGUUAAACUGUAAUAUCACGCAUAAUUCACGUAAAAUUUUAAACAGACAAACAUUUUCCCAACCCAAUCUAUUUAUUUAAGAUUAGAAUAGAUAUAAACCAACAUUAGGUGACUAUGUGUUACAUAAUAAUACAAGAUGUGCAACUCCCAAGAGCACUAUCCAUAAUCAUUGAGGUGAUCUAACAUCCUAUAUUGAUUGCUUGUUCAGUUGUUCCUGCCCAUUGGUACUAAUGUCAUCAAUUUCCUGGCUGAUGGCUGAUGACAAGUGGCAUGCAUUGUGGACCUUUGAAUUAUUAUUACCUUUUUAAAGUAUUUAAUGGAGAACAUUGAUAUGUUAAGAUGAUUUACUUUACUGUCUGUUGAAUUUAGACCUUUGGUCUGAUUUAAAAUUUAAAAAAACAAGUUUCUUGCAGAAUAUUUGUAUAGGACUCUUGUCAUGAGAUAUAGCUGAUUUGCACUGAUAUGACAUGCAAUACUUAGGGGGGGGGGUCAUUGCGGGACAAUUUUCUUCAUUUUGAGAGCAGAUUGUAAGAGCAUGGUGAAAGAAGGAUUGAAUCUUCUGACAUUAUUGCGCAGUCUUCAUGCUUACCCAUAGGCCCAACCCACAGGCAAAAGCUUGUAUAAUUACUUUCCAUCCAAUAAAAUUUUCUGCUACAGGUCAAAUAGAAUCUUCACAAUUUAAAAAGAAAAAUGAGCAUCAGGUCACAUAUAUAUAGCUUCCAAAUUCCAAAUGUCCAGAUAUUACUUAUUGUAAGAAAUCUUUCUUCAAGGAGGAGACCUUUUAGAAUCUGCACUUUACCUCUGUAUAUUGAGGCAGGUGAUGAAGCAUGGUGGUAAUGGGUGAUGCUUACCAGUUGAGGCAUGAAAAUCAAUUUGAUUUUAAAGUACUCUGCAAGAAAGAAUUUCCCUUCAACACUGUGGCAAUUAGGGAUUAUAAGAGUAUUAAAUUUCUGCAUUUAUUCUGUAAAGAUCAUUAUCAAUUUUGAUUAAGUCAAUUUAUGAAGAAGCCAAAUUAUUUAUUUGUUUAGUUUCCUACUGUUCAGAUAACCAGAUGGAAGGGAUAUAUAACUUCAUCAUUUGGUUCAUUAGAAAAGAUGAUCGGUUGUGAAAAUAAAACAAUUUCCUGAUAUUUCAAUCACAUCUCUUCAAAAGAAAAUCAUUUCCAUGUGAAUUAUUAAUUAUCAAAAUUAUCUUUGUGAACUUUGUAACUGUAUCUGCUAUAAAUUCUAUAUUAAAAGACAAUUCAUUGUAAUGUCGACCUGAUUUUAUGUUAUUUUCAUGUGCCAUUAAUGGCUUAAACAUAAAUAUAUUUUGUCCUUGUUAAUGAUUUGUGUAUCCAAUAUUAUUCACUCAAUAAGAAAAUAUAUUGUAUUCUCCAUGAUUUCUUAAUUACAAAGAAUUUUGUGUAUUUAUUGCAGUCAAAAUUGAUAUGAGUAAUUUGAAUGCUUUAUUUUUAAUAUUAAAGGUCUGCAGGUUCUGACACUGAUCUUCUGUUUCAUCCUGAAUAUGUAUGAAAUAUUUGCCACUGGACAUAAAAGCAAGUAGAAACCUGUAAAACCUAGUCAGUUUAGUUCUAAAAGAAAAGUAUUAUACCUCCUUUUAGUUUUAUCCAUGUUUAGAGAUAAACAGCUGACAUUAGGUUUGUGCUUAGAUUAGUAGGGUACAGGUCUAGUAGUAAUUCUAUAUUUUUCAUUAAAAAGGUAAUAAUAAUCCUAUUUCCUUAAAGUCUAUCCUUAUGGGAUCUAUAAAUGGAAUUUGAUGACAUUUUGGAUUGAAAGAGUAUUUGUUAUGUACACAUCUUUCCAAGGUUGUAGCUUGUAAGCAUUUACCUAGUAAAUAUUAUUGAUAGAUAGAAACAAAGAUGGACCACACCUCCAUAAUCCCCCGUAAUGAUAUGAUGGUUAUCAGUCUUAAUAAACUUUAGGAUACUUAGAACAGUCUAUGGUAUGAUAGAGAUAUUAUGUUAUAUAUUAGCCCUUGUUUGUUUUCGGUAAAUCUAAAGGAAUACUGUCGUAAAGAUAACGGGCUCCACAAAAAUGUCAAGAGAUCAUAAAUGUACAUGAAUAAUCACUUGUACUAAGAUCACCUUAUGAUUUGCCAUCAAUUUUCUUAUUUUAAUAAUUUAUCAGUUAAGUAUUACAUACUGUUCCAUAUUUUGUAUUGUUUUAGAUGCCUAUCGUUACUGUUAGAACUUUACGGAAUUUAAGAAAACCUAGUUACUCCAUAAUGUCAACUACAUCCACCGUACAAGGGAGAUAUUGACUUUUAUCACUAUGAAAUUAUUACAUUAGAUUUACAAUGACACAUGACGGAUUAACCUCCUUUAUCCAGACUAGAUCAAAGUGAUUCUGUUUAUGUUUUAAAAGGAUUACACCUUAUUAUAUUCAUGUUGAUUCGUAAUACCCUGCUGACACAAACUGUGGCGAUUCUAAUUUUUAAUCGAUUCGUUGAUUUCAAUUUAAUUUCCGUUGACUUCAUUCCAAUGUGAAGAAUCAUUUUCCGAUGUCUUUUUCACACUCAGUGAAGAAUCUUAAUACUUCAAGUUUUAAGGUUUAGUAUUAGCAUUUCUGAAAUCAAUGCUCCUUUUAUUUAGAGAGAGAAAUGCUUUUUGAAACCGUUGACAGAAAAGAGGAUUUGUACAGAUUAAAGACUUUGUAUGAUGUGCAUACAUUGACUAAGAUUUUAAACUAUAAUAAUAAAAUCUUGCAUGAUAGACUUAAGAUUGUACCAUUGCCUAACAUUUCAUAUCUCCUGUCGCCUUUUAUUCCAGCUUUAAUGAAUAUUCUUGGCUUUAAUGUCAGCAUACAUUGUCUACUGUUGCCUAUGAUGCCAGUAUUCCUUGUCUACAUCUGCUUUUGCAGUUUGUUGAUUUGGUAUUAAUGGUCACUAAACCUUUGUAUAUGUUUGGUGAUCAGAUCUUCAGAUUUCAUUGACUUGUGCCUACCAUAUACUGACCUAGAUGUUUUAUGUUUAUUUGUGCCUUUUGGUUGCUUCCUUGAUGACAUGUACCUACAGUCUCCAUUUGUUCACAUCUUCUUAUAUCUAAUUAGUUGUCUUUUAUUGGUUUGAAGCAUUUUUUUAAGUUUCUCUCUUAUUUAUUCCUUCAUUGAUUUUCUUUCCUAUUGUGUCUGCACGCUCUGUAUAUAAUAUGCAUGUCUUUGAUUUAUUAUGUUGGUUCAAAAGCUCAUUCUAGGCUUUUGUUGUAUUGUUCUUUAACUUGCAAUUGUUUACUUCAAUUAAAACUUAAUUGAUUUGAUUUGAUAGGCGUCUCAUUUCAUUUUGAGUAAUACGUUUAGGUAAAAAGCUGAUGAGUCUUGAAAAUGGUGUUUAUUGAAAAGGGAGCUAUCUUUGAUGACACAAAUUCAGAAUUAUGUUUAGAUGUGUCAUAUAAGUUCCCUUAUUUGAAUAAUAUGAUAUGGAUAUGAUAUAAAUCCGUACCAUAUCAAAGAAGAUAUCGAAUAAGUAUGAUUGCCACUGAGACAACUAUCCAUCUAAGACAAAAAGAUAUCCAUGUCAGCAGCUAUAGGCAACUUAACAGUUUUCAAUAAUGAGCAAUAUCCAAUCCAGUGGGUCAAAAAGCCUACCAAGCAUUGGUCAAAUAUUUUUGCUAACUUUUAAGUCUUGUAUUCUGUCUACUGUUUUCUUUGAAAUGUUUACUAUUUAACUCCAUCAUCAUGGUGUUUAGAUGGAAAGAAUCACAACUAUUUAUACCCCCUUAGAGAGGACAUUAUUUUCGCUUUCAAUCGAUGGGUUUAGAAUCCGCAAGAACCACAACUAUUAUACCUCCUUAUAGAGGACAAUUAUUUUUCAGCAAUAAUUCUACCAUGUAAACUACAAUUAUCACUACUUUGUAAUAUAUAGAGAUCUCCUAUAUUCUGUCAGGACUUUCUAUGUUAGUAUAGAAAGUCCCUGAUUCUGUCUACUGUUUUCUUUGAAAUGUUUACUAUUUCAGGAGUCAUACACUUGCAUAUAUAAUUAAAAUAAGUAAAACAUGCUCCAAUUCAUCUAAAAUACUACCUUGACCAAAAACUUUAACCUGAAAGCGGGACAGACGAACGAACAGACAAACGGACGACCAAUGAAACGAUUGUUACAAAGUGUAAAAGUCAAACCAUUACCAUUAUAGGUCAAAGUACAGUCUUCAACACGAAGUCUGUCUUCACACUGAACAGCAAGCUAGAAAGGGCCCCAAAAAUACAAGUGUAAAUACAUAUAGAAACACUUAUGAAACAAACAAACAACAACCAUUGAACAUCAAGGUCACAUAAAUUCCCUUAUUUAAAUAGACCAUGAGUCUAUGUCCUCUUUCCCAGUGAUCACCUGUCUCCACUUUAUUACCUGUUAUGCAGUGAAGAUAGAAUGAAGGAGUCUUUGUUUGUUAUAUAGACAAGAUAAGUCUGUCUCCGACUUCCCUGUUAAGUUACAAUACUACCUAUUUAAUCAGAGAAUAACAUGUACCAACAAUUAUCAUUAGAGUGGUCCUUACCAAGUAUAAAGUAGAGGUUAUUGUCGAUAACUAAACUGUUACCAAGAUAUUUCAUAUUUACAAAACAUCUUCAUUUAAGUUAAUUUCACCUCCUGUUGUUCUUAGGAAGCUUUUUUCCCUCCUCAAAAACUUUGUAGGUAAAAACACCAUCAUGACUCGGUUAAAAGUACAGGUAAAUAUAUGUUUGUUAGCUUUGACACCUCUGCGUAUUUGUAUAAUGGCUCAUCUCCAGGUAUUUGUAAGCAUUAUAAACAGCGGGAACAUCGUCACAUGUUCUGGGACAUCAAAAAUAUGUAGUUAAUAAUGAGAUGAUAACACUAAAUGAUGGAUCAAAGUAUUUAUUGUAAGACGUAAACUCAGUCAAGGUGGACAAUAUUGUUUCUUAACAAUUCGAUUGUGUGCCUGCAUAGACUUUAAAUUAAGGCUUUGUUUUUAAACCCUUAAAGCUGAUAAUUUUUUUUUAUCUAAAAACUCUUUCUCAGGCUAUUUUUAGGUGCUUAGCUUUUUUGAAUUUUGUUAAAAGAAAAAUAUUUUUCAAAAUUUAAUGAAUGGUUACUGGUCAUAUGGGACCUCAUUUUACUUUUCUUUAUUUUUUGCUUGUUUUUAGAAUCUUUAUUUUCCAGAGGCUAACGCAAAAAAUUUCCUCAUUUCAUCCAUUGAAAGGCAUUAUUUUUUGAAGAUUUUUACCGUUUUUAAAGUAUUUGUGUAACCACAAAUACUAAGCACUUGUAAAAACUAUGAAGUAUUACAUAAGGUACAAAAGCAUAACAUCUGUCUCUGAAAUCUUUGUAGUUCAUGAAGGUGAUUUGAAUGGUAUAUAAUUUUAAAAUGCAUUUUUUGAAGCCAGAUAAGCCUGUAAAAACAUGCUGAAUGAAACAAAAGGUAGUAUUCAGAUUCAUGGAAAUAGAAAUAUAACUUUGAACUUUUAUUAAGGAAGGCUAUGAUUUAAGAUAGAAAAACCUCCAAACCUUUAAUUUUUCUAUGAAAUGAACCUGAAUCAAUAUGAUUAAGAAUUCAGUUGUAUUGUUACAAUUCUGUACAUGUAUUUAAAUUUUUAAAACUGCAACUCUCUUUCAGAUUUAUUUAAUGUUCCUGUGUUUGAAUUACUUUUGUCUGCUCUAAGGAUUGCCGCCUUCAAGUUAAAGUCUGCACACAAAUGGUAAUAUAUUAUUUGAAUACGCCCACUUCUGAACAAAUCCACAACUGUCUGAAUCUAAUCUAGCGGAAUCUAAGUGCAUUUUAUAUCCAUAAUUACACCAGGCACAAGCCAUCUGUCUUUAACAUGAUAUCGUACUGCCCUCUGGUCAUUCAAAAAGUGACCCGUCAUGUACUUAAUGAGCUCCCGACCAGGUCAUGGGCUGGACGGUGUUAAGGCAAUCAUACUAACACUGCUGUAGCGUAUCCUUUAAUCAGGGAUUAGGAACAAUGGGACCUACAAUUGUAAUUGUCCGACGGAAGUUUUAUUGGUUUUUAAAGACGGCCAGUUUUCUUAUGAUAUUAUAUCCAUAUCUUAUUGACAUUGAGAUGGGUAUCGUGUCACCACUUCACGUUUAAUUUGUCUAAUUAACUGAUCCUAUUAGAGAUGGUUCUACCUGAAUUAAUACCUUUGAUUUAAUAUUUUCUUCGUUUGAAGUGUUGAAGAAAGUGAGAAAUUACUUUUUGAUGAUAACAAAUGAGAUGAGUUUUAUUUGAUUUUGACCUCAGCAAGCUAUUUUAAGACAAUUUAUUGGCUAUAAGGAAUGCUUAAGAUAAAAAAUAGAAAAUGGUAUAUGCUCAAAUGCUUAAAUGCCAAACUCAUACAUGUCUCUCUGUCCUAUUUUCCUCUGUAUUUAGAAAUUGCAAUGGUAAAUUUAUAUUAUCCUAUUUAAGUUUAAGACCUUCCAUUAAAGGAAAGUCUUACGAAAAAAUUUCCUUUAAAAGAAAUUAUCUGUUGUCAAAGAUAGAUAGGUAAAAUAAUAGAAAUGCAAUUUUAAUGUGAUAUAUAGACACCCGCCAUAAAACAAAGUUACAUUCUAUCAUCAAAUUGAUUAUUUGUCCUUGUUGUUCAGAAUUAAAAAGAUGAAUGCUCUUUGAGACAACAUUAAUUGCAUAUUAUAAGUAUAGGCACUAAAAAAAAAUCUGUUUUUUUUAGGUGCCAAAUUUUAUAAAAGAAAUAUUAUUAAAUUUUGCUUUGUUUUAGUAACACUGAUUGUCAAAUAUCGCAAAACAUAACUAAACUUUCUAAUUUAAAAAAGCAGCUUUUAGAAACGUAGAUAGAAUAUCCAGUCAUCAUGUUUUCUGUGAGAUAGUCUAUAUUUACUGUUAAAAAGUAACAAGUCUUUGAAUAGAACUUUAUUUUUAGUGACAUAUUUUGUAGAUUUAUCAUUUCCCUGUCAUUUGAGGACAAUUGAUGUUCUAUUUAAAGUCAGUAGGAGGAAAGAAUAAUACUGGUUUUUUUAAGAGAUGAAACUUUAGACUUGAAUUUUUUGACAAUUUGAACAGUUUAUAUAUAAUUGUAUACUUAACCUUUCUUUGAUGAGAAAGCUAUCUAUGGUAUCAGUAUCAUAUGAUGAAUGGGAACACCCUGUGGCAUUCUGGGUAAAUUAUUUGUCUAAAAAAUAUAAUGGCCUUCCUUUCUUUUUGUAAGCCCUGCUGGAAGGCUUUGAAACAAUUUCUUUUAUAGUUAUUGAGGACCUUCUCCUGAUUAAUUUAUCAAGGAGGUUUUCAUCUUUGCACUAAAUAGAAUUUCGGUAGUGAUUUAAAUAAAUUUUAAAUUGUAAGUAGCUGGAUGUGUUACAAACCCUCAAGGAAAUACGGUCACUUUACUCUGUUAUUACGGGUAUUGACAAUUAUUUAACCCAUUCUUCCAUGAUAAGGUUUCAUCCCCUUAAUGAUAGCUAAAGAUAUCUGGGAUUAUAUCAGAUAGGUAAUUAGAUGUGUUGACAAUUAUUACAGAAUAAAUUACAUUUAUUUUAAUGCCUUCGGUGUGAAAUUUAGACAUUGGAACUUGACUUAGGUGUGAAAGUCUCAUAUUUUCCCUUCUGGCAUUAAAGACCCUGAAUUAAAUCUUAACUAAACAGCGUCAGAUUAAAAGACAUUAUUAAAUAAAGUCAUGUCACCUUUUGAAUUUUUCUACAAAUUAAUUUAAAUGAUUGAAAUAUUUAUCCAUCAGGUUAUCUGUUGGGUGUUCAAUCACCUUAAACUCACUGUUUUAAAAACAAAGGAUGCCAUAAAAUAUAGCCUUUUAGGUUCCUUUGUGUAGUACCUCAGUUGAAACGCUUUGACUAAAAAUGUCUGCAUCAGAAAAACUUAAAAAAAAUUGUUUCCAAUAUGAAAAGAAUAUUAUAAGAAUAUCUGACUUGAAUUUCAUUGAUGAAAUAUUCGUUUUCACAAUGCAUUAAUCCUUGAAAUGUGAUGAAUUUUUUUUUAUUGAAAAAAUCCUAUGCGAAUCAAGUAUGUGAGAGAAAAAAAUUCCAUGGAGGAAAGGGUUAAUAAAGAGAUUUUAGUUAUAAAAUAAAUGGAGAAAACAUAAGUUAGUUAGUAGUUUUCUCAUUUGAAUUGUUUUACAUUUGCGAUUUUGGGGCCUUUUAGAGCUGACUUUGUGGUAUGGGCUAUGCUUAUUGUUGAAGGCCAUACAGUGACCUAUAGUUGUAAAUUUCUGUGUCAUGUGGUGUCUGGUGAAGUCUCAUUGGCAAUCAUACCACAUCUAAUUAUCUUUAUAGUAAUAGUAACAGCACAAAAAAAAAGAUAAUAGGAGUCAAUUGUUAUGAAUGAUGUCUUCUUCCAAUUAACAAGAAUCUGUAAGAUAAUAAUCUUCCUGGAAAUUGUUACAUAGAAACUGACAAUAGGUUUGAGAAAUGGCUUAAAACUCAAAAGCAGCAUAAACCAAAUCAUUUAUCCAGUAAACCAAUUCUGUGUUUCUAAAAACAAGCUUUCAGUCAAACAAAAACAGGUGGAUAAAGUUGAGAUUAAAUCCAUCUUUUAAAAUAAAUUGACCUCCGUCCCAAACAAAGACAUUCUUCUUGCCUUUGGCUAAGUCCAUAAUCCUCAUAAAAUAAAUAUAGCAUUAAGCGAAGUCAAUAAAAACAAAUCCAUUGUUUUAAUAACAAGCUGUCCAUUACUUUAAGACCAUUAUCCCACUAUAUUCAGAUUGGUUACUUUUAUGGUCAGCUGUUCCAUAUAUCUGAAAAGGGAAAAAACUAUAUUAGCUAAGACAUCUAAAUUCAAUUAUCUAACUAACAAGGUUAAAGAUUCCAGUCUAUUGGUCAAGGAAAAAAUAGAAAUCAAUUUAAUUUGAAGAUAUGUGAUAAAUUCUUGUGAUGUGGUGUGGUCAUUGUUAAGAUUAAAUGUUUAGAACAUAGGUGAGAAAUUGUUUAAGAAAUUGGCUAAAUUUCCCAAAAUUAGCACUCUGGACACCUGUUGUGAUACCAUCUUGUGUCAAGUACCAACAUGAUUCAUUGAAAGUUUUACGUAGUAGUUUAACCAUUGUGUUUGGGGAUAAUGUUUCGGUUUGUGGAAACUCCUUUUUUUCCAACAACAUAUUUGAAAAGGAAUCAAUUGUUCCUUCAGGAAACUCAAGCACCAAAAAGCAUAUAAAUGUAAUGGUUAUCAAAUUAACUACCCUGCACUUUUGGGGAACUGAUUAAUGCAUCUUCAUAUGAAUUUGAUUAAAAUAGCAUACAGCUAGCUACAAGUUAUUCCAUUAAUUCAUGUUAUGAGCAAAAAAUAUUACCCAUUUAUCAUUGGAAAACAAUACAAAUCUCUAUUUCAGAUUUUCAAGUAUGAUGCAUGACAGUUCAAAACAUCCAUUAAAGCCUCAUCAUGAACCCAAAGAAAUAUUUAAAUUGGUCAGAAUAAAAUAUGAGGUCACAAUGGUCACAUCACUGGUCAUCUUGGUCCAAGAUUUUUCAUUUUGUUCAGUGAAAUUAUAGACAUAAAAAUGGUGGUAUAUACAAUUAGUUCAAGCAGACGACAGUUGUAAUAUUUUCAAUGGUUGACAUUGUUGACCUGGUACUUUACCAUCAGCAAGAAUUCAGUGAUUAGUUCUGGACACCAGUUCCUGUCCACGUUGACAAAGUUAGGUCCUUUGUUCGAUAAUAAUUUCUUUGUUUACUCGACGGCUGCUGCAGUGCGUUUGGCUUCAGAUAAAUGCUUGUAAUCUCUCUGUUUUCUGUAAAGGAUAUAAUUAUUUUAUAUUUACAAGACGGCUUCCUUUUAUUGAAAUAUGACGUGUAAAUGAUAUCCAUCUUUGAAAGACAUCUUUACCUAAAGUAUUUCAUUUCUCCAAUAAAAAGUGAAACCUGACACUAACCUUUCAGAAUCUGAUAUCCCUAUUUAAAAGUUAUCAAAUCUAGAAUUGCAAUCAAAGUGGACUAAUUAUGGAUUUUCAAGUCAUAAAAAUGAAGAUUCCUACAGCUUAAAGAUUUCAAAGUAUAAAUUAAGAUGGUAAUGUUGAUAAAAUUAUAAACACCAAAGUACUUUUUAUUUAAGGACAUACAGGAAAAACAGCUGACAAAUAUGAGAAUUGGUAGUUACUGAAUCAGUUUAUGGAAUAUUAAUCAUUUGAAUUAGCAUUCUUCUUUUUCAGUGCAAAUCUUUGAAAUUCACAAAAGGAGAAGAAAUAAAAAGAAAACAUUAAAGAAUGUGGUGAAAUUGAAAUUUGAUGGAAAUUUAAGAAAAAGGGAAUAUAUUUGCUGGUUUGCAUCAAAUUAAUUUCUCUCCAUAUAGCUGCAUUUCCUAUAGUCACACCUAGAAGGUGGUUUAGGUGUAGGAACCCUUAUUUUCCAGAUUUUUUUUUAAUCAACUAAAAAUUACAAAAAUCAGGCUCCCACUACCCAUUAGAAAAGUUUAAGACUCAUGUCUGUGCUCAAUGUCUUCUUUGAUUGAUUGAUUGUUGGUUGCUUUACGCUUUAUGUCUUCUUUGAAGUAAAAGAUAAGAUUUAUUUAGUAAAACAUAGAUUUAUUUAAUCCCAGUAAUCUUGUGUAUACAUAAUAAAGACUUCCACCAUUGGAAGCAAGUUGCAAAUAAUCUAUUUUUUGUAUUACUUAUAUAUUAUGGCUAAUAAAUACAAAAGAUAUCUUCUCUUACUUAAAUAUUUUUCAUUAUACUUUGAUGACAAGUGCUUUUGUAUUUGAAAAUUGAAUUUCCAGCUGACUGCAAGUAGUUUAAUUAAGCCUUUUCUGCCAUGUACAGAAAUUUACAUAUUAAUACUAAAUUUUAAUAGCAAUAUUUCCUUUUAUUCAUACAAAGUACUCACAUUUGUAACUUUUAAACUAACUUUGCCAUAUUUUAUUGUUAGCAUGAAUAGAUACAAGCAUUUGAAGGUUAUUUGCUUUUUAUUUUUGUCAAUAUUUUUUCUGGCUCAUAAAAGGACCACUAAUUUAAAAUGAAGACAUACAUUUGAAUGGUGUCAUCAAAAAUUUAUCUUUAUACUUUUUAAAACUCACUUUAAAAGACAGAUAAUUGCUUAAAAGUAGUCUUGUCUGUUUAUAUGAAAGAGAAAAAAAAGUUGAUUUAAAUGAACAAUCAGUGAUUUAUAGUCCCAGUUAGAUUUAAAAUGAUAUCAUUUACCAAACCACUGAUACAAGGACACCCGUUUUAGAUUUUGAUUAUUUGGGGAGAUAUUAAAAUGAAAUGAUCAAAUAAUUGCAUAAUGGAUUUAAUUGUGCAGUUAAAUUUUGUGGAGGCUUAUAUUCUGUAAAAUAUUGAAAAUAAAUUGCAUUUGGGAAUAUCUCCAUUUAUAUAUUGAAUAGGAGUAUUUGACAGUCAAGCCUUGGACUACAGAGUAAUAGUCGUGAGUGUUUACUUUGUAAUAUGAGAAAAAAAAUACUUUUGUGAAUGUUUUAUUGAAAAUUUAUUUUAUAGUUUUCAUUUUUGGGUAUCUAUCAAAUUUAUGAAACAAGAAAAUAUGUAAAUAUAUGCAGAAGAAAUUAUUUAAAUUUUGAUUUGUAGCACUGAGUGUCAUAAUGGCAGUCAUCUCCCAAAGAAUCAAUUGACCAAAGUGAAUGCCAUUUGAUUCAAAGCCACAUGAAUGAUUUGUUUCAUGGAUACAGAAAUUUAUAAAAGGGGGGGAUUUUAUUCAUAAAUAUGUAAUUUAUUCUUUCAAUCUUUAUUUACAAAUGACACUAAUAUACUAUACUAUAGUAAGAAACUACAUGUAAAUUCUAUUGCUUUAAUCUAGAAUACUUGAAAAGCAAAAAAAUAUGGUUAUAUCUCAAAAAUAGAUUUUAGGUAGGUUAGUGCACAACCUUACAAUACCUAUAACAUAAAUCUGGUCUACAGCCAUUUAUGGACAGACUGAGAAGCAGCAUUGUAUUAGAUUGAAGUACUAUACUGGUGGUAUGGUUCUUCUGUGGGCAGUGUCAGUACUGAUUAUAGUAUAUAUAGGACCAGAUCAAGAAAGGUGUGCAAAGAAUAUUAAUUAGUUGUUAAUUGAAAGUAAUUAUAGUCUCAGUGUGAAUAUGAUUUGAUGGUGAGAUCUGCAGGGUACUUGUUGACCACAUAAAUUAGGAUAACACACUGAUUUCAAGAUAUUAUUUCUAUCCAUGAUUUAACAUACAAUGAUUAGAGAGCCACUAAGAUGACAACCUAAGGUUUUCUGAUAUGGAGGGACAUUGUAAUCUAACAAACUAUGAUAGGUCUUCACACCUUCAUUAUUUCUUGUUCUUUUUGGAUGUAUCAAAUGCUGUCACACUAUUGGGAUGUCUUUGCACCCUCAUAAGUAUCGGGACCUAUUUAGGACCAUGAUGAAAUUCAGUCUUAAAAAAGACAGUAAGUACUGAUUUUGUAAUACCGUUCAGUUAUGCAUACUUUUCCCUCUUUUUUUCCUUAAAUAUUCAUAUAAAUUCUAACAAAAUUGUCCAAGAAAAGAAAAAGAAAAGUUUAAUGCCAUUGAAUUCAAUGUUUGGUCUAGAAACUAUUGAUUAAAAUUUAGACCUAUUAUCCUUGAAAUGAGGAAACUGAUCGGAGCCCAUGUUUGUUUACUGUUGAGUUAUCUAAAUUUGAAACCCAUUGAAGUGCACUAUAACCUAACAAAAUAUUUGUUUAUUGAUAGAAAACCAAUUAUCUAUUACCUGUCAAAGUAUGUAAACAAAAGAUAAAAUCUAGUGACCAAAGUUUAAAACUGUAAUCAGUUAAAGGGUGAUAAGAUAGGGAGGGACCCUUCAAUCAACCCUGUUUACUUUUCUCCCCUAUAAAGAGGUACCCGAGGAUAACGUGUCCUUUAGAAGUGUGAUUUUCACAUCUAUUGACUAAUCCUGUUAAUGUGUUAAGAUUGGACAAUCUUAGAAUUGUAAUUGAAAAAUAAACAUAAGAAAUUCUUUGUAAUUGAUAUGUUUCUGUAAUUCAAUUAAAUGGGUAAUACUUUUGAUGAAGUUUUGGGUCUGUUUUGUCUUGUUUGAGCUAGAGACCUGUUUCUACAGUAUGUUCUUUCUGCUUUCAAUACUUGUGAUAAAUGAAUUGGCAUAAAUUUAGAAAAGCGCCAGAAUUAAAAAAUAAAAAAAAAAAAAUUUGGUUCUUAUAUUAUCCCAUAUGAUAUUGUACACAAAGUUAAAAAAAAUUAUUAGAUGAAUCAAACUCUGAGCAUUUUAUGGGUAAAUUUUUAAUUUGCCUGAGCAAUUUUGAUUUUAACAGCUAUUUUUUUUCUCAAAAGUUAUUAUAAAAAACAAAGAUGUGGUAUGAUUACCAAUGAGACAACUCUCCACAAGAGACCAAAAUGACACAGAAAUUAACAACUAUAGGUCACCAUACAGCCUUCAACAAUGAGCAAAACCCUUAGCCCAUAGUCAGUUAUAAAUAGCCCCGAAAUGACAAUGUAAAACAAUUGUAGGAUUCAAACAAGAAUAUCUGUAAACAUAUGCUUGGCUUGUGCUAUAAUUGGCUAAGAUCGUGAUAGUUAUUAUUUUGUAAAUAGAACAAAGGUUAGGUAGAGGAAUAUAAAUUGUAAAAUUUGAUGUAUUUUUUUUUUUUUAGAUAAAGUUCUGCUACUCUGAGGAGGUUUUCCCACUUUUAUGAGACAAGAGCAAUUUGAAUUAAUACUCCAUUAAGCUGUUUUAAUUAGAAGACUUCCAUCAUCUUUAUCUGACAUAUACAAAGUAUUCUAAUGCAAUUAUUUUGUAACAAUUGUUCUGAUUGGAUGACAGCAAGCGUAAAAUUCUCUAUCUCCUUGUCUGUAACUAAGGAAGCCGACAUUUUGAAUUUCGGAAUGUGUUGACAUGUUAUUUCUACAAUAAUAAACAAAAAACUCACUUGUUGCGCCUAAAAAUUUUCUUUUUAUCAAAAUUUAUUACAUUUUGAAGCGGCAGAGAAGCCAGAAAACGCCCGGUGUUUAUGUUUGACGCCGGAAGCAUACUAUGACGUCACCUAGUGUAGGGACAAAGAAGAUAAAUCUUUUCGCGGAAUUUUCUUUAAUGAAGAUUUUACACUGAAAUAAUGAUUGAAAUUUAAUUAUGAACUUGUUUUGCAUUAGAAUAGAGAUAACUGUAUUGUAUUUGAAGCUUUGCGGACGUCCAUCGGUAGUUUUGCUGUCGCAAAUACCCGUUUACCUGUCUCCGCUCCGCGUCGCCAGGUAAACUAAAUUUGCGACAGUAAAACUACCGAUGGACGUCCUUAAAGCUUCAAAUACAAUACAGUUAUCUCUUAAUUGUUCAUUUUCUGCUGCGAACAAGACUUGCAACUAUAAAACAAAGAGUGAUCUAAGCAUGUCUAGUGUCAACUUAAUAAUCGCCCAAUUACCCUGCUAGAGGGUAUCUCAUAUACUGCCAUCUAGAAAAUCCAAUUUUCUCCUCUUAAUCUUACAAUAACACAUAAAUGAGAAAAGUUUAUGAAACUAUUUUAUGCCUCAUUUCCCAUCAGUGAGGCAUGCAAGGGAAGUUUGUGUUAGGCUUUGUCAGUCACUCUGAGCGUGGAAAUGCUUCAAAUUAGUCGAAAGUCAAUUUGAUUUAUUUUGGCAUGAGUUAAUUGCAUGCGAAAUUUAUGUUAAAGUUAUGGUUUGACUAGAUUUGAAUUUCAUAAGGCAGGUGGCAGAUUUCUUUCAUUCUAAAAUCAAUUUAUCAUGUAAAUUGCUUUGUUUUCUUCUUGUUCAUUUCACAACCUGAAUUAAUUUCGGAUGUUUCUUUAUAUUAUAUUGACUUAUGAAAACUAAAAUAGGUAAAGAACAUGAUAUCAUAAGUUGGUAUAUACUUAUUAGAUAUAGUUGUGGUUUUAUGACAACUUUCAGUAUUUGAAUGUAUGUAAAAGAUUCUGUGAUGCAUUGUACAUUACUUUUUAUAAACUCCACCUACUUGACCUCUAAAUGUCUUUUCUUAUUUGUGUCAUUGGGUUGCUGUUCAAACUAUAUGAGUAUAUAUACCCCACAUGUCCACAUCUACUUUUAUUUUUUCCAUCAAGGCAGGAGUUAUACUAAAAUUUAACCAUGUCUAUUCUGUUGAGAAAAAAUAGUUAAAAUAGAGGGGGGAAUAAAUACAAAAAUGAAACAUAAAAAUUAAAGAUUAAACUGGAGUAUGAUUUUAGCACUGAUUAGUUUGUUUUCGUAGUUUAUGAUAUUUGCGAGGUUUUUUCUUGAGGGGAAAAAAUGUUCCAAUUCAAAACCUAAGUCUGAUUUAAGAGAGAGGGGACGUAGGGAGGAUAAUUGUAAUCAGAAUUCUCCUAAUCAGUUCUUUAAUCUCCAAAAAAUAUAACAUAAUUUUACUUAAACAAACAUUGCACUGGUGUCAUACAAGAAGAAGUUUAUACACUUUAUCAGAUUAAAACGAUAUUUAGUACUUUUUAACAUAGUAGUGAAAAGUUAUGUCGGGUGAUAAAUUAAUGAGAUAAAAUUUGAUAAGACGAAGAUAAGCUUCUGUAGCAUUCCCUGACAGAUAAAAACUAUCAGAAAUCUUUGCUUUUUCAAUCAUAUUUCACUUGAGAGAUUUACUGCAUGGAGAAGUCUUGUAGUAAGAUGUACUGAUAAGUCUUGGAAGAUAAAAGGCUCACCUGCUAUGAAAGUGAUGCAAUAAAGAUGGAGAAAAAAUGAACUUAUCUCAAAAUAUUUACAGAUUAAAUCUCUGUUGAUUUGGUAGCUUCUGAUAGCUUCAACAGCUGAUCAGAAGUGAUGGAUUUCUGAGGGCAUUCUGUAACUUAUGGUGUACUAAGGCAGUGGAAAUCUAUGGUCCCUAAAAUGACAAAUUGAGAAUUUAUUUUGAGUGGAGUCCAAUAUUUAACUGAUUUAAAAAACAGUGGCCCUCGAUAGGAAGUCAGUGACUCUCUGCAAACCAAUUAGACUUUUAAGCUAAGCACACAAUAUUUAAUAGUAAUACAUGUGUAGCAAAGACUUGUUCUCUGGGCAUCAGAAAACUAGUUGUGUCCAGGCCCGUAGCCAGGAAUUUCCAAAGGGGGGAUUCGUUGGACUAACAAACUCGACUUUAACAGUCACAAUUCGAACAGAACAUCGACAUUAACAGUGCUUAUUUGUUUUCAAGGGGGGGUUCGUCCGAACCCCCCUUGGCUACGGGUAUGGUGUCCAGCUUAAUUGGAAUUGUAGCACUAGAAAUUCUGCUAAUCGUGUCAUUAUUGCCAAUUAAAAGCAGUAUAUACAUUCAUACAUGUUAUCUUUCUUAAUAUGGUUGAAAUAUUAGCCACUGGACAAUUUGCACUCAUCUAUUAAUGUUUGUCAAAUUAUUUUCAUAACAGUUUAAUCCAUAUAAAUGCCAGGUUCUGCCUGGGAACUUAAUGAUUGCAUUAUAAUUAUUGAAGUCUGAUUAAUAAAUCAAAAUUAAUGUAUGCUAAUUGGUAUGUUAUUAAGUAUUUCAAAUCAUUACGUGCUGCUAACAAUGCAUGUUUGUACCGAUACAUUAAAAUAUCUAGACAACUAACAACUAAAAUUAUUUAUUAAACAUAUUUGACAUUAGAUGUAAGUGAAGUAUUGACAACAAAAUAGUUUAAGAUGCACAGACAAGAAACCUGCAUUAUAACAUGUACAAUACAUUGUCGUUGUACCUUCUUGUACCUUUACCUCACCUUGUUAGAUGGUUAUAAAUCAUUUUUAUUUUUAUUUGUUUUAACUUUGACUUAAAUGUUUGUCUGGGGAAUUUUAUUGAUUUAAUGGAAUUGGAGUAAAAAAUGGUGAAUAGAAGCUGAAGAUGUGUUUAUUUCAAUCUAUGUUUUUUCUAUGACUGGUACAAUACAUUGUCAAAAUAAAACUUCAUAUUGCCGUUAGACUGAUAUUCACAUCCUGAAGAAUUCAAUCUUAUAUUGCUUGAUAUUGGAGCAUUUGAUCUGAUACUGGAUUUGAUUGAACAGGCUAUUAUUUGAACUUAGAAUUAUUUUCAAUUAUGGAAUUUGCAUAAUUUCUUGUAUUUAAAAUUUUUAAUAAAUUCUAUGUUUAUUUGGUAUCAUAAUCUUUUGAGCGGUUAAUAACACUUUCCAUACAAUGUAUUUUGGUUAGAUAGUGUUGUGCGCGACACAGUACAUUCUAUUGAAAAUAUACUAUUUUCUUUGUAAUAGAAAGUGUUGUGCGCAGCACAGAACAUUUCAGUACAGAAUAAACAUGGAAUUUAUUAAAAAUUUCAAUAACAAGAAAUCAAGCAAAUUCCAUAAUUAAAAUAAUUCCAAGUUCAAAUAACAGCCUGUUUUUUAGAGUUACCAUAACAAAUCUGUAACAUUUCAAGGAAAUAACUAAAUUAUACAAAACCCAUGAAAAUUAGUCAAUUUUAAUCUAAGAAAACAUACUGUGUGGAUUCAUUUAUUUUUGUUGAUUAUGAAAAAGUUGUGUUUUCGUGGAUUUUUUAUUUUAUUUUUUGCAAAAGUCUGCAUAAGAGUUUACAGAAAAUUUUAUACAAAACUAGAAAAGAAGGCAUCAUCAAUAUUUGAAUGUCCACAUUUUACAGAAUACCUACACCCACCGAGCAAUGAUGAUAUUGUCAAGUACCAAAUUAAAUACAUUAAUGAAACAUUAAAAUAAUUUGUACCCAUCAUUGGCUAUUAUUGAACUUAAAAAGUUUAUGUUUUUGUGAUCUAUUCUUACUUGCUUUAUAAAAUAGAAAAAUGAUUCAAAGUUAUUUUACAGUUUUCUUAAGCGCCAAUUGUUUCGUCAUAUAUAAGGGCUUCCCGUUAUCUCCUUAAUGGCCCCAGAUUUUAUCAUCCGAUCUUAGAUGUAACAGGUUCAAGAUUAAAUUUUGAUAUUAUUUUUUACAGUUGCCAGAGAUUUUGUCUCAGUUUCAUCAGAUGAAUUGAAGAGAGAAGAGGUAUAUUUUGCUGUGAGUAUUUUAUAUUUUAAAAUUUUUAACAAAGGAUACAAGUAUAAUUUGACUUUCACUUUUAUACAACCUUGACCUUUGGCCUCAAGGUCAAAUGAUUUAAUUUUUUUUACAUUUUUUUUUUAGCACUUGUAUACUUUUUUUUUAGUCAUUUGACAUAGGCAUUUGAUAUCAAGAUCGUGUGUAGGCAUUUUCAGACAAUGGGUCACACACUAUUGUAUUGUAGAUUAUCUCUAAACUUGAAUUUUGACCACAAGGUAAAAAAAAAGGUAGAUUUUUGUAUUUUUUACUCUUGUUUUUGAUAAUUCCCAUCUUUGUCCAUUUGAAUAUAAGAACAUGUGGUAUGAUUGCCAAAGAGACAACUAUCCAUCCGAGACCAAAUGACUUGGAUGUUAGCAACUCAUUCACAGUUAGGCCUUUAACAAUGAGCAAAACUAACACUGCGUUUAGAUAACGUGUCACAUGUCACAUAUCAUUAAAGUUGAUCUUGACCUUUGAUCUUAAAGUGAAAUAAUUCUUUCUUCUGACUAUUUCCAUGCCACUGACCAUAGAUGUAUUUAUUUAUUGAUAUAGGCAUUUGUAAUUGGAAUAUGAGUAUAUCAUGUCAAUCCCUGGGUUACUUUUAAAGAUCCCAUUUUCCUUUUCCUUUUAUAAUUUUCAAGAUUUUAGAUAUGCUUUUCCUCCUGUCUUUUCUGUUGGUAAAUCCACCAAGAUAAUUUUUUAAACAAAAAAAAUAGUUUUGUUACUCAGAGUUCAUAACACUUAAUAUUUUAAAAGAAUUGUACAACUUAAAAAAUGUUGAAUUAUUUAUAAUCAAACAAUAGCAGUUAUAAAAAUGUAUAUAAAGAAAAUAUUCAUUAUGUUUACCACAAAUAGGGGUUACAUUUGAUAAUAUGCCAUAAAUUCUGCUAAUGGGUAAUAUACUCUGCUUCGCUGUUCAUCCAGCUGUGUCCCUAUACCAAAUUUCAUUAAAAUCCAUCAUGAAUUAUGAUUUAUGUUUAAUAUAUGAAGAUGACCAGUGUAUUGAAUCCCAUUUUACAAUGAUAUAUACCCUCCUAACGUGUGACAUUAAUUGGCUAUCUCAAUGGAAAUCAAAUUUUAAACCAGAUAGGAAGUUUAUAGGUGAGAAGCUUUUGAUUGGAAUUGAUCAUACAUAGUUCAUCAUUUAUGUAUAAAUGCGUUAUGGCUGCGUACUUAAAUUUGCAUAACAAACUUUGAAACACAUAUAUGUGAAAAAAAAAGCCCAUUUUUUUCUUUCCAAUUUCCCUUCAUUCUUCAUCAUGAUUCAUCUUCACCAUCUUACCGUAAGAGAUAAAUAUAUGAAUACUCCGAUCGGUUAAACAAUUUGUAUUGACACCCCAUGUUUGACAAAGAUACGACGGGAAUCUUAUUAACUUCAAAGUUGGACCUGAUUAAUAUGCUAAUCCCUAUUUACAGUAGCGCAACAUUUUAUUUUCAUUUUAUGUAUAUUUUCGUGCACAGUUGGAUGACCAUGAAGUGAAAAUAGCGGUGUAACAUUUGAAUUUUUCCGUGUUUUGAAUUCUCUUUGUUGCGAUUGGCUUGACAUCCUUGGAAAUUAUCUCGGAAAAUAAUGUUCUGAUAAGUUUCCCUUUUAUGACAAUUUUAUGAGCAUUUUUUAUUAUUCAUUUUUAGAAUCUUUACAAAACUGAGGCAGAUUGAAUCUAUUAUCCUCCUGUAUGACUGUUUAAGAAUAGCUGCACGACUUUAUUCUUAACAGGUUUUCAUAUAAAUCAUAAAAACUUCAUCUCAUUGUAGAAAAUAAAAGCAAUAUUUAAUACUAACUUUUAAUCUUUGAGUUUUAGUAUAACAAUAAAUUUACUAGUGAAAUAAAAAUUGUCUCUUUUGAAUAUGUAGUUAAAAAAUGAGUUAGUAUCGUUAAUGAUUAAACAUCAGCAGGAAAUAAGAAUAUUUUCAUGGGUUAUUUCACCAAUGUCACAUUAAAGUGUGCAUUACCAUACUUGAGAUUUGUGGAUAUAAUUAGAUUUCUCAAAUAUUUGUCAUCAUCUGUUUGCUAGAGACCUAAAUAGGAAUAAAUGAAGAAGGUCAAUGAAAUAGCAUACCAGUGACGGUAAAAAUAGAAGCCAUCUUGAGUUCACGUCCAGUCUACUUGCUGGAGAACUAAAAUAGGAAUAAAUGGGAAAGGGUACAAAGCAAUAAAAUAGUAUCCCUGUUACACUAAAAAUCAAAGCCAUCUACAGUUCAUAUCCAAUCUGAAAAAAUAUAUAAAUGUCUACUGAAUAUGAACUCUCAAUUGCAGGGACUACAAAAGUAUAUAAAGUCUACUAUUCAAUUAAAGAGUUAAAACUAAUGUUUUUUUUUUCUAUCAGUUUUAGUUUAAACAUAUUUGUUUUAUAGUGGAUUGAGAAACAAGUUAUUGCAACUUUACUGUGCAACUUAUAUUAAUCUCUUUCCACUUUGCUGGUGCUAGUACUGCCUUGUAACGGUAAUAGCCUGCUCUUUUUAGCAAACAGUUGUGUAACUCUAAAACAAAAAUGUAUCCCUAUUAUUGGUAUUUCUUAUAAACUUUUCUGAAGUUAAAUAGUUUAACCCUGUAUUGAUGACAAACAGAUAUUGAUAAAGUUUGGUCUCUUGUAUUUACAACACUCAACAUCAGAAUUGUAAGGGUAGUCAUUGUCCACAUAGAGGGUUAUUGAUGGUAUUAUAAAGUAUCUCCUGCCGAUUUUGAGACACACUCCUUACUCCAUUACUCAACGUUUACAACUUGGACAACUCUAACCAAUAGAAAUCUGAAUUUAGACGGAAGAUGGAUUAGUUUAAUAAAUUAUCUCGCCAAUUAUAACAAUGACUACAAUGAUGUUUCAUUAUUUUGAAAAAUUUUCUUCAAUGAAAAGCACUUGUUUUUGAUGUUUAAAGAAAUGUUUGUUUAUUGUGGUAAGCCUUGUUAGGACUGUGAAAAGUGGGAUUUUAAUAGAUGCAUGCUAAGUCUGAAAUUAGAAUAAGAUGGAAAGAAUUUUCUCUUUAGGUUAUGUUGCCUCAGAUCCUUUAGGGUUUGAUGACAAAAAGUACUUUACAAUCAAUGCUUGAUGUCAAAAUUAAAAAAAAAUAUUUAGAUGUUUGAGCGCCUGCAUUAUGUUAUGUUUACAUGUAUUUAGAAUUUAUAACAAAAGUACAUGUAGGGUAUACGCCUAUGAGACGCAACACAUCAACAUAAAAGAAAUUUAAAGAAACAAAUGGUUUAAAUAUUUUAUCCAGAUAUAGAGACAGCUUUGAUCUAUUUUUGAUAUUAUUUUAAAUGAAAAUUACUGAACUAAGAUGUAAAAUUUCAUGGGUAGAUAAGAUACAACAAAGAUACUAUAUCGGUUAAAAGUAAACGUUGGUUCAGUGAGCAACAUGAUUUAACAAUGAUUUGGAUGAAGACAUAAUAUUAAAAGGCAUAAUUUUAUUUCUGUUUAAUAAAGAUGAAAAAAUAAAACCAGGAGUUUGAUCAUCCAAAAAACUCAUAAAUAACUUUGAUUAAAGUUAUAUUACAUGUGAAAAAGCAUUUAAUUAACAUUUUAUACCUUUUUAUUCUUCCAGAAAUCAGAGAACUUGAAGAAACAAGAUAGCUGCAUUACUUAGCGCCAUAAGUGUACUAUAUAAGGUGAUCAGCAUGAACUAACAAGGUGGUUUAUAAGUGGAC
rnacentral:lncRNA from 1 species